GCCUCGGUAGUCGAAUUGAUAAGACAUCCAUCCAGAAAGUCAAAAAUUCCAGAUUCGAAUCCUGGCCGAGGUA
rnacentral:tRNA from 1 species